rnacentral:rRNA from 1 species
AACGAACGCUGGCGGCAGGCCUAACACAUGCAAGUCGAGCGCGCCUUCGGGUGAGCGGCGGACGGGUUAGUAACGCGUGGGAACGUGCCCUUUUCUACGGAAUAGCCUCUGGAAACGGAGAGUAAUACCGUAUACGCCCUUUGGGGGGAAAGAUUUAUCGGAGAAGGAUCGGCCCGCGUUAGAUUAGGUAGUUGGUGGGGUAACGGCCUACCAAGCCUACGAUCUAUAGCUGGUUUUAGAGGAUGAUCAGCAACACUGGGACUGAGACACGGCCCAGACUCCUACGGGAGGCAGCAGUGGGGAAUCUUAGACAAUGGGGGCAACCCUGAUCUAGCCAUGCCGCGUGAGUGAUGAAGGCCUUAGGGUCGUAAAGCUCUUUCGCCUGUGAUGAUAAUGACAGUAGCAGGUAAAGAAACCCCGGCUAACUCCGUGCCAGCAGCCGCGGUAAUACGGAGGGGGUUAGCGUUGUUCGGAAUUACUGGGCGUAAAGCGCGCGUAGGCGGAUUAGAAAGUUGGGGGUGAAAUCCCGGGGCUCAACCUCGGAACUGCCUCCAAAACUGCUAGUCUAGAGUUCGAGAGAGGUGAGUGGAAUUCCGAGUGUAGAGGUGAAAUUCGUAGAUAUUCGGAGGAACACCAGUGGCGAAGGCGGCUCACUGGCUCGAUACUGACGCUGAGGUGCGAAAGUGUGGGGAGCAAACAGGAUUAGAUACCCUGGUAGUCCACACCGUAAACGAUGAAUGCCAGUCGUCGGGUAGUAUACUAUUCGGUGACACACCUAACGGAUUAAGCAUUCCGCCUGGGGAGUACGGUCGCAAGAUUAAAACUCAAAGGAAUUGACGG